GACGAACGCUGGCGGCGUGCCUAAUACAUGCAAGUUGAGCGCUGAAGGUUGGUACUUGUACCGACUGGAUGAGCAGCGAACGGGUGAGUAACGCGUGGGGAAUCUGCCUUUGAGCGGGGGACAACAUUUGGAAACGAAUGCUAAUACCGCAUAAAAACUUUAAACACAAGUUUUAAGUUUGAAAGAUGCAAUUGCAUCACUCAAAGAUGAUCCCGCGUUGUAUUAGCUAGUUGGUGAGGUAAAGGCUCACCAAGGCGAUGAUACAUAGCCGACCUGAGAGGGUGAUCGGCCACAUUGGGACUGAGACACGGCCCAAACUCCUACGGGAGGCAGCAGUAGGGAAUCUUCGGCAAUGGACGAAAGUCUGACCGAGCAACGCCGCGUGAGUGAAGAAGGUUUUCGGAUCGUAAAACUCUGUUGGUAGAGAAGAACGUUGGUGAGAGUGGAAAGCUCAUCAAGUGACGGUAACUACACAGAAAGAGACGGCUAACUACGUG
rnacentral:rRNA from 1 species